rnacentral:lncRNA from 1 species
UCUAACACAUAGUGGAUGGAAUUCAACUCUUGAGAGUAUAUGUGCUGGUGUUCCAAUGAUUUCAUGGCCUUUCUUUGCUGAACAACAAACAAAUUGUCGUUAUUGUUGCACUGAGUGGGGGAUUGGAAUGGAGAUUGACAACAAUGUAAAAAGAAAUGAAGUGGAGGAGUUAGUGAGAGAGUUGAUGGAUGGAGAAAAAGGUAAGAAAAUGAAAGAGAAUGUAAUGUAUUUGAGGAGUAAAGCUGAAGAAGCAUAUAAACCAGGUGGUUCUGCUUACAAGCAAUUGGAUAAGCUGAUCAAUGAAGUACUUUUGUCAAACAUAAAGAAGGUUUAAGCUUUGUAUCCAAAGUUCUCUGCUGUUACACCUGGUUGAUCUGCUUUUCUUCUUUAGGAACCUAUGUAUUAUUAUAUAUUGAAUAUUAUUGCAUGGUUUUUCUUCAAUAAAUUCUCCUAUUUGAUUUUUCUGAAGACUAGCUCAUUAAUUAAGUAGGAAAAUGUAUAUAAAGAUUGUGGUAUAUGUUAGAUUGGAUCUGUUUCAGAUAAGCAUGUUGUAAAACUCUCUAAUCCUAACGACGUCCGUGAUAUGUAGUUUGAAUUAUUCUUUUUAAAAAUAAAUUGCUCUGUUUUCUUUUGUUCACCGAUAUAACUAACACAUGGUUAGUUAAGCAAGCAAACAAUCUUUAUAUAUUGAUUCUACAUCGUAUACAUUUUUCUUCUUUUAUCUUAAUUAAUGGUGAAUUUGUAACCGUGUCUUUCCAUUUUAUCUAUAUACGUGUGCAAGACAUCUCUUGACAUCCUCUUAUUAUUGUUGGUAUGAAUUUGAAAAUUUGUAUGUCGUGGACACAUAAAUUCAUAUAGUAGUAAAAUGUCCUCAUUAAAAAAAAAACUAUUAACAACUUAUCCUAAAAUAAAUUUGAAAUUUUUUAUCCAAACACACCAUUUAACCACUAUAAACCAUUACUAUUAUUAGGAAAACUAUGAAAAACAAUAAAUUUGACAAAAUAUUUACAAGCUAUAACACAAUUUCAUAUCUGUCAAUACCAAACAGUGAUAUCCUUCUAUCUAUGGCAUUGAAGCUAUUACUAAUUAUUUUUUAUAGAAUCCAUAAAUUUUAUUAUAUAUUAUAAAUAUUUUAAUUUAUUUUGCUACUUUAAAAACUAAUUUGAAUAGUUUUAUGUCGCAAUUGAUCGUUUGUCCAUCCAUUUAUUAUGACAACCACAAGUAACAUCUGUAGUGGUCACCAUGGUUUUUUUGUUUUUUUCCCAAGAUUCAUAUAUUAAUAAAUGAUUGAGAUACAUACAUUAAUCAACCAACGAUCCAAAAGCAAAAAGAUAUUUAUAAGUUCAAAUUAUCUUCUUGCUUCUGCAGCUUGUAAGAAUAUUAGAAUUCUUACAUUUUUGUUUCUCAGAAAACUGAGCAAUUCCCCAUUUCAAGAAGAUCAAGAAAUUCAAUGAUGGAAUCUGUCUCACAGACUGAAAAACCACAUGCUGUAUGUAUCCCAUAUCCAGUCCAAGGCCAUAUCACCCCUAUGCUAAUGCUUGCUAAGCUUCUCCAUCACAGAGGUUUCUACAUAACUUUUGUCAAUACCGACUACAAUCAUCGUCGUCUUCUCCAAUCGAGAGGCCCCAACUCGCUCGAUGGCUUGCAAGAUUUUAAGUUCCGAACCAUUCCCGACGGCCUUCCUUACUCGGACGCCAACUGUACUCAAGAUAUUCCAGCACUCUGUGAAUCCACCUCCAAGAAUUGCUUAGCCCCUUUUUGUGAUCUUAUUUCACAACUUAACUCAAUGGCAGCUUCUCCUUCUAGUAAUAUGCCACCAGUUAGCUGCAUUGUUAGUGAUGCUAUUAUGUCUUUCUCUAUGUUGGCUGCCAAUGAGUUUAAAAUCCCUUAUGCUUUUCUUUGGACUGCUAGUGCUUGUGGCUAUCUUGGUUACUUCCAAUAUGAGCAUCUCAUUAACCAGGGCUUGAUUCCUCUUAAAGGUAUGGUUUCAUUUUAAUGUGUUUUCUUUUCUUUUUUGUCAAUCUUUGUUCGAAAUGGAUUUUUGUGUGGUAGAAUUUUAUUUUAAAAAUUAUGUUUAACUUUUUUAUGAACAUUUUCAGCAUAAUCAACUAAAAUAUUUAUAGAAUAUAUCAAAAUUUUACAUGUUAGAUUUAAAGAUAGAGAUUUAUUUUAGUAUAUUGAUAGACAUAAAUAGACUUAUAUUAGUAUGAAUUGAUAUACUAAAUUUUUUCAAUUUUAUUUCUAAUAAAUUUAUAAAUUAAAAAAGUUUCUAAUAAUUAUAUCCUUAAUGUUUUUUAAUUUUUAUUUUCAUCUAACUCUUGUUAUCUUUUUAUCAAGUCUUUCAUCCAUUUCAACGUUUUAAAGAUAGUAGGAACCUAUUAGACUUAAAAGUUACAAGUUUAAUUAUGUUCAUUAGACCCAAAAUAAAUUUUCAUUCCUAUUUUUUAAAAAAAAAUUAUAGAACAUGUCAAAAACCUAAGAACUACUUAUAUAUUUUUUGAGAGGAUAUGAAUUUGAAAAUUUAGAAACAAAUGAGAUGCUUAUCUUUUCAAGAGAAAUUUUAAUAGUUAGAUAAGAUGCCAAACAAUUGAGAGUGAUAGACUUUUAUCACCUCUAAAGUCUUAGUUCUGUCAGUUAGUGUUAGUGAUAGGUUUCUCAUUAUCCAUUUCUAUUAUUGAUAGACAUCGAUAAACUUCUAUUAGUUUUUAAUAUUGAUAUAUGACAUCGAUAGAUUUCUACAUGUGUUUAACCUGUAUUUUCUAAAUUUCUUAUCAACAUAUAUUUGAAAGAUAAGAAAUUUAGAGUUUUUUGCGAAUUUUUUUUUAAAUAAUGUAAAAUUUGAAACAUAUAUCAAAAAUAGGGUGGAUGCAAAACUAUUUUUAAAAAUAGGUGAUUUGGGGUGAAGUCUCGUACACGACUUUCAUGCAGUGGACCUCACAUAUUCUAUUUUUUUUCUUAUUUUUAUAUUUAUACUACACUGGGCCCACAUUUUUUUUAUUUUCUCAUUAUUUAUAUACGUGGGACCCACACACUUCACUUUUUCUCAUUAUUUAUAUAUACAUACUCACAUAUAAUAUAAUAUAUAUAUUAAACAUUCAAAUUCUAAAGAUAUCUUUCUUUAUUAAAUUAAUUAAUUUUUUAUUUUUUCUUUAUAUAUAUUUAAAUAUCACAAUCUUCAAUCUUCGUUUUUUCUUAUUAAAUUCAUUUUUCUACUUUAAUUUAAAUUUUUCUUAAUCAAAAUUACACAUAUCUUCUUUUCCAAAUUUUAAUUUUUUUAAACAAACUCAUAUAUUAACAAAUAUGUUAUUAAACAAAUAAAAAUAGAAAUAAUAGUAAUAAUUAUAUAUAUAUAUAUAUAUAUUUAAUAUCUCAAUCUUCAAUUUUUCUUAUUAAUUCAUCUUUUCUAAUUUAAUUUAAUUAUUUCUUAACCAAAAUUAUAUAUAUCUUUUUCUAAUUUUCUGUUUUAAAAAACACAUAUAUUAACCAAAUAUGUUAUUAAAAAAUACAUUAAACAAAUAAAAAUAAUAAUAGUAAUUGAAAGAAGUUGAAACGUACUCUAAAAAUAAUAAUAACAAUAAAUUUGUAAUUGAAAAUUAUCCGUUAAGUUUUUAAAUUUAAUUUGUAAUCGAACCAAUUCUUGUUUUUUUCCUUUUGCCAUAAACAUGAAUUUCUUUUUAUUCAAUUAUCAAUGUGCGUGGCUUCAAGUGUUAUUAUUAUUAUUUUUUUUAGUAAUUUUAACUUAUCUCAAUUAUUAUUAUUACUCUUUUAAUUUGUUUAAUAUAUUUUUAAUAACAUGUUUUGUUAAUAUAUGAGAUUUUUUAACAAAAUUGAAAGUUGGAAAAAAAAUAUAUGUAUAAUUUUGAUUAAGAAAGAAUUAAAUUAAAUUAGAAAAAUGAAUUUAAUAAGAAAAAUUGAAGAUCGAAGAUUGUGAUAUUUAAAUAUAUAUAAAGAAAAAAAUAAAUUAAUUUAAUAAAAAAAGAUAUUUUUAGAAUUUGAAUGUAUAACAUAUAUAUAUUAAAUUAUAUGUGAGUAUGUAUAUAUAAAUAAUGAGAAAAAGUGAAGUGUGUGGGACCUACGUAUAUAAAUAAUGAGAAAAUAAAAAAAUGUGGGGUCCAGUGUUGUAUAAAUAUAAAAAUAAGGAAAAAAUAAAAUAUGUGGGAUCCACUGCAUAAAAGUCGUGGUACACGACUUCACCCCAAAUCACCUAUUUUUAAAAAUAGUUUUGCAUCCACCCUAUUUUUGAUAUAUGUUGCAAAUAUUACAUUAUUUUUAGAAAAAAUCCGUUUUUUGCAAUAACCAGUAAAUCGUUUUAACCUAUCUUCCAAUUAAAAAAAGAACUUGGACAUCCAUUAGAAUACACAACCAGGUGGACCAAACUCAUAAUUUAAACCAAAUUCUUUAUUUUGGUAUUUGUGUAUUUAGUUUUGAUAUCUUUACUGGUUAACAGAUAUAAGUCAGGUAACAUAUGAAUAUUUAGAAACUACAAUCGAAUAGAUUCAAGGAAUGAAAAAUAUAAGUUUGAGAGAUCUUCCUACUUUUCUUAGAACAACAGUUCGAGAUGAUAUCAUGCUCACUUUUAUCAUUCAAGCAAUGGAAAGAUCUAGAGAAGCACCUGUAGAUAACAUUGCUAUAUAAAUUUCUAUAUAUGUUCAUUACUUAUAUCGUUGAUAGAUAUGCUAAUAGGCUUCCAUCAACGUUCAUUUAAAUGAUAAAAAAUAAGAAAUUUAUUUGAAAUAACUUGUAAAUAGUUUAAUCUAUCUUCAAAUUAAAAAAGAAAAAAAAAAAACUUGGACAUCCAUCAGAAUAAAGAACCAUGUGGACCAAACUCAUCAUUUUAACCAAAUUCUUUAUUUUGAAGUUUGUGUAUUUAAAUUUUAAACUCUUUACUGGUUAACAGAUAUGAGUCAGCUAACAGAUGGAUAUUUAGAAACUACAAUCGGAUGGACUCAAGGAAUGAAAAAUAUACGUUUGAGAGACCUUCCUACUUUUCUUAGAACAACAAAUCUAGAUGAUAUUAUGAUCAAUUUUAUCCUUCAAGAAAUGAAAAGAUCUCGAGAAGCAUCUACAAUUAUAUUAAACACAUUUGAUGCAAUCGAAGGAGAUGUCAAAGAUUCUCUUUCAUCUAUCCUUCAGUCUAUUUACACUAUUGGUCCACUUCACAUGCUUGGCAACAAAAUAGAUGAUGAAAAACUAACAGCAAUUGGCUCAAACCUAUGGGCUGAGGAAUCAAAAUGCAUUGAGUGGCUUAACUCUAAGCAGCCCGACUCAGUUGUUUAUGUUAAUUUUGGUAGCAUCACAGUGAUGACACCACAACAAAUGGUUGAGUUUGCAUGGGGAUUAGCUGAUAGUGGGAAGCCAUUUUUGUGGAUUACAAGGCCUGAUUUAAUUGUGGGAGAUUCAGCCAUUAUGCCUCAAGAAUUUGUUACACAGACUAAAGAUAGAAGCUUGAUAUCAAGUUGGUGUAGUCAAGAACAAGUGUUGAGCCAUCCUUCAAUAGGAGGAUUUCUAACACAUAGUGGAUGGAAUUCAACUCUUGAGAGUAUAUGUGCUGGUGUUCCAAUGAUUUCAUGGCCUUUCUUUGCUGAACAACAAACAAAUUGUCGUUAUUGUUGCACUGAGUGGGGGAUUGGAAUGGAGAUUGACAACAAUGUAAAAAGAAAUGAAGUGGAGGAGUUAGUGAGAGAGUUGAUGGAUGGAGAAAAAGGUAAGAAAAUGAAAGAGAAUGUAAUGUAUUUGAAGAGUAAAGCUGAAGAAGCAUAUAAACCAGGUGGUUCUGCUUACAAGCAAUUGGAUAAGCUGAUCAAUGAAGUACUUUUGUCAAACAUAAAGAAGGUUUAAACUUUGGAUACAAAGUUCUCUGCUUUUACACCUAGUUGAUCUGAUUUUCUUCUUUAGGUCUAUGUAUUAUUAUAUUGAAUAUUAUUGCAUGGUUUUCAUUUUUAAAUAAAUUCUCCAAUUUGGUAUUUCAAUUUUCUUGGGUAGAAAACAUAAUUCAGAGUUGUAGUCUUCUUAAUCUACGAGGAUAAACUUGUAUUAGUUUCUUUAACUGAAUAGUUAUUCUUUAUUAGUUUCUAUCACGAUUAGACAUUGAAAAUUUUAUCAGCCUUUAUCAUUGAUAAGCUUCUAGCAUUGAUAGAUGACAUUGAUAGGUUUUUGUAUUUAUUCAUUAGUUAUAGUGUUGAUAUAGAUGAUGCUGAUAGACUUCCAUCAACUUCUAUCUCAAUAAUAAAGAAAUUUAGAAACUUUUCUAAUAACUUGUAAAUAGUUUAACCAAUCUUUCAAUUAAAAAAAAAAAAAACUUGAACAUCUAUUAAAAUACACAACCACCUGGACAAAACUCAUCAUUUAAAAAAAAAAAUCAUUAUUUUGGAAUCUGUGUAUUUAGUUUUGAAAUCUUUACAGGUUAAUAGAUAUGAGUCAGGUAACAGAUGGAUAUUUAAAAACUACAGUCGGAUGGACUCAAGGAAUGAAAAAUAUAUGUUUGAAAGACCUUCCUACUUUACUUGGAACAGUAGUUGAAGAUGACAUUAUGAUCAAUUUUAUCAUUCAAGCAAUGGAAAGAUCUCCAUAAGCAUCUGCAAUUAUAUUAAACACAUUUAAUAUAAUGGAAGGAGAUGUCAAAGAUUCUCUUUCUUUAUUUACACCAUCGGUCCACUUCACAUGCUUUCCAACCAAAUAGAUGAUGAGAAUCUAACAGCAAUUGGCUCAAACCUAUUGGCUGAGGAAUCAGAAUCCAUUGAGUGGCUUAACUCUAAGCAACCCAACUCAGUUGUUUAUGUUAAUUUUGGUAGCAUCACAGUGAUGACACCACAACAAUUGAUUGAGUUUGCAUGGGGAUUCGCUGAUAGUGGGAAGCCACUUUUGUGGAUUACAAGGCCUGAUUUAAUUGUGGGAGAUUCAGCCAUUAUGCCUCAAGAAUUUGUCACACAAACUAAAGAUAGAAGCAUGAUAGCAAGUUGGUGUAGUCAAGAACAAGUGUUGAACCAUCCUUCAAUAGGAGGAUUUGUAACACAUAGUGGAUGGAAUUCAACUCUUGAGAGAGUAUAUGUGCUGGUGUUCCAAUGAUAUGUUGGCCUUUCUUUGGUGAACAACAAACAAAUUGUCGUUAUUGUUGCACUGAGUGGGGGAUUGGAAUGGAGAUUGAUAACAAUGUAAUAAGAAGUGAAGUGGAGGAGUUAGUGGGAGAGUUGAUGGAUGGAGAAAAAGGUAAUUGAAAAUGAAAGAGAAUGUAAUGUAUUUGAAGAGUAAAGCUGAAGAAGCAUAUAAACCAGGUGGUUCUGCUUGCAAGCAAUUGGAUAAGCUGAUCAAUGAAGUACUUUUGUCAAACAUAAAGAAGGUUUAAGCUUUGUAUCCAAAGUUCUCUGCUGUUACACCUGGUUGAUCUGCUUUUCUUCUUUAGGAACCCUAUGUAUUAUUAUAUAUUGAAUAUUAUUGCAUUGUUUUUCUUCAAUAAAUUCUCCUAUUUGAUUUUU